UACGUAGGGGUGCGAGCGUUAUCCGGAAUUAUUGGGCGUAAAGAGCUCGUAGGCGGUUUGUCGCGUCUGCCGUGAAAGUCCGGGGCUCAACUCCGGAUCUGCGGUGGGUACGGGCAGACUAGAGUGAUGUAGGGGAGACUGGAAUUCCUGGUGUAGCGGUGAAAUGCGCAGAUAUCAGGAGGAACACCGAUGGCGAAGGCAGGUCUCUGGGCAUUAACUGACGCUGAGGAGCGAAAGCAUGGGGAGCGAACAGG
rnacentral:rRNA from 1 species